CGCAGUAGGCAAUCAGUCGGCCGACUGGCGGGCGCUUCGCGGUUUGAAUGGCUGGGGGCCCAGGCCCUCGGCUCACCUGAGGCCCCGCCGCCCAGGUGUGCGCUAUGCCGUCGGGAGGCAACCAAUCGCCGCCGCCGCCCCCUCCUCCUCUUCCGGCGGCGGCGGCCUCAGAUGAAGAGGAGGAGGAGGAUGCCGAGGCGGAGGACGCAGCGCAGUCGGCCCGGUCGCCGGCCCCUCAGACCCAACAGCGGUUCGACGAGCUGUGCAGCCGCCUGAACAUGGACGAGGCGGCUCGGGCCGAGGCCUGGGACAGCUACAGGAGCAUGAGCGAGAGCUACACGCUGGAGGGAAAUGAUCUUCAUUGGUUAGCAUGUGCCUUAUAUGUGGCUUGCAGAAAAUCUGUGCCAACUGUAAGCAAAGGGACAGUUGAAGGAAACUAUGUAUCUUUAACUAGAAUCCUGAGAUGUUCAGAGCAGAGCUUAAUUGAAUUUUUUCACAAGAUGAAGAAAUGGGAAGACAUGGCAAACCUACCCGCACAGUUCAGAGAACGGACUGAGAGAUUAGAAAGAAACUUCACUGUUUCUGCUGUAAUCUUUAAGAAAUAUGAACCCAUUUUUCAGGACAUUUUUAAAUAUCCUCAAGAGGAGCAGCCUCGUCAACAAAGAGGAAGAAAACAGCGGCGACAGCCCUGUACCGUGUCUGAAGUUUUCCAUUUUUGUUGGGUGCUUUUUAUAUAUGCAAAAGGUAAUUUCCCCAUGAUUAGUGAUGAUCUGGUUAAUUCUUAUCAUCUUCUGCUGUGUGCUUUGGACUUAGUUUAUGGAAAUGCCCUUCAAUGUUCCAAUCGUAAAGAACUUGUGAACCCUAAUUUUAAAGGUCUAUCUGAAGAUUUUCACGCUAAGGAUUCUAAACCUUCUUCCGACCCACCUUGUGUCAUUGAGAAACUCUGUUCCUUACAUGACGGCCUAGUUUUGGAAGCAAAGGGAAUAAAGGAACAUUUCUGGAAACCCUAUAUUAGGAAACUUUAUGAAAAAAAGCUCCUUAAGGGAAAAGAAGAAAAUCUUACUGGUUUUCUAGAACCUGGGAAUUUUGGAGAGAGUUUUAAAGCCAUCAAUAAGGCCUAUGAGGAGUAUGUUUUAUCUGUUGGGAAUUUAGAUGAGCGGAUUUUUCUUGGAGAGGAUGCUGAAGAGGAAAUUGGGACCCUCUCAAGGUGUUUGAAUACUGGUUCAGGAACAGAGACUGCUGAAAGGGUGCAGAUGAAAAGCAUCUUGCAGCAGCACUUUGACAAGUCUAAAGCACUUAGGAUCUCUACCCCACUUACUGGUGUGAGGUACAUUAAGGGUAACAGCCCUUGUGUGACUCCAGUUUCUACAGCUACACAUAGCUUGAGUCGUCUCCACACCAUGCUCACAGGCCUCAGGAAUGCACCAAGUGAGAAACUGGAACAGAUUCUAAGGACAUGUUCCAGAGAUCCAACCCAGGCUAUAGCCAACAGAUUGAAAGAAAUGUAUGAAAUAUAUUCUCAGCAUUCCCAGCCAGAUGAGGAUAUCAGUAAUUGUGCUAAAGAAAUUGCCAGCAAACAUUUUCGUUUUGCAGAGAUGCUUUACUAUAAAGUGUUAGAAUCUGUUAUUGAGCAGGAACAAAAAAGACUGGGAGACAUGGAUUUAUCUGGCAUUCUGGAACAAGAUGCAUUCCACAGAUCGCUCUUGGCCUGCUGCCUUGAGGUCGUCACUUUUUCUUAUAAGCCUCCUGGGAAUUUUCCAUGUAUUACUGAAAUAUUUGAUGUACCACUUUAUCAUUUUUACAAGGUGAUAGAAGUAUUCAUUAGAGCAGAAGAUGGCCUUUGUAGAGAGGUGGUAAAACACCUUAAUCAGAUUGAAGAACAGAUCUUGGAUCAUUUGGCAUGGAAACCAGAGUCUCCACUCUGGGACAGAAUUAGAGACAAUGAAAACAGAGUUCCUACGUGUGAAGAGGUCAUGCCACCUCAGAACCUGGAAAGAGCGGAUGAAAUUUGUAUUGCUGGCUCCCCUUUGACUCCCAGAAGGGUGAGUGAAGUUCGUGCUGAUGCUGGAGGACUUGGAAGAAGCAUAACGUCUCCAACCACAUUAUACGAUAGGUACAGCUCCCCAACAGCCAGCUCUACCAGAAGGCGGCUAUUUGUUGAGAAUGAUAGCCCCACUGAUGGAGGGACACCUGGCCGCAUCCCCCCACAGCCUCUAGUCAAUGCUGUCCCUGUGCAGAAUGUAUCUGGGGAAGCUGUUUCUGUCACACCAGUUCCUGGACAGACUUUGGUCACCAUGGCAACAGCCACUGUCACAGCCAACAAUGGACAAACAGUGACUAUUCCUGUACAAGGCAUUGCCAAUGAAAAUGGAGGAAUAACAUUCUUCCCAGUCCAAGUCAAUGUUGGGGGGCAGGCACAAGCUGUGACUGGCUCCAUCCAGCCCCUCAGUGCUCAGGCCCUGGCUGGAAGUUUAAGCUCUCAACAGGUGACAGGAACGACCUUGCAAGUCCCUGGUCAGGUGGCCAUUCAACAGAUUUCCCCAGGUGGACAACAGCAGAAACAAGGCCUACCUUUAACCAGCAGCAAUAUUAGACCCAGGAAGACCAGCUCUUUAUCGCUUUUCUUUAGAAAGGUUUAUCACUUAGCAGGUGUCCGUCUUCGGGACCUUUGUGCUAAAUUGGAUAUUUCAGAUGAACUGAGGAAAAAAAUCUGGACCUGCUUUGAAUUCUCCAUAAUUCAGUGUCCUGAACUUAUGAUGGACAGACAUCUGGACCAGUUGUUAAUGUGUGCCAUUUAUGUGAUGGCAAAGGUCACAAAAGAAGACAAGUCCUUCCAGAAUAUUAUGCGUUGCUAUAGGACUCAGCCACAGGCCCGGAGCCAGGUGUAUAGAAGUGUUCUGAUAAAAGGGAAAAGGAAAAGAAGAAAUUCUGGCAGCAGUGACAGCAGAAGUCAUCAGAAUUCUCCAACAGAACUAAACAAAGACAGAACCAGUAGAGACUCCAGUCCUGUCAUGAGGUCAAGCAGCACCUUGCCAGUUCCACAGCCUAGCAGUGCCCCUCCUACACCUACUCGUCUCACAGGUGCCAACAGUGAUGUGGAAGAGGAGGAGAGGGGAGACCUUAUUCAGUUCUACAACAACAUCUACAUAAAACAAAUUAAAACAUUUGCCAUGAAGUACUCACAGGCAAAUGCAAUGGAUGCUCCUCCACUCUCUCCCUAUCCGUUUGUAAGAACAGGCUCUCCUCGCCGAAUACAGUUGUCUCAAAAUCAUCCUGUGUACAUAUCCCCGCAUAAAAAUGAAGCAAUGCUUUCUCCUCGAGAAAAGAUUUUCUACUACUUCAGCAACAGUCCUUCAAAGAGACUGAGAGAAAUUAACAGUAUGAUACGGACAGGAGAAACGCCAACCAAAAAGAGAGGGAUUCUUCUGGAAGAUGGAAGUGAAUCACCUGCAAAAAGAAUUUGCCCAGAAAAUCAUUCUGCCUUAUUACGCCGUCUCCAAGAUGUAGCUAAUGACCGAGGUUCCCACUGAGUUCACCUGAGGUGGGAUCAACUAGCGGGUGAAAGACGGGAAUAUCAAACACCAAACGCUACAUUGAAAGAGAGACACAUCCUUUAAUGGAAGCAAUGGAGCAUAUUAAACCCACGCGGAUAAGUUGUAAAAGAAGCUUCAGGACAAGGCAGUUUUGUUGCUUAAAGUCAAAGAGCUGCCUCAAGAGGGACACCUAACUACUUUCACCAUUUUCCUGUAAGACUAAAUUUUGCAGUGAAGCAGGGGAAAAGUCGCCCUUCUCUACCACAGCAUAACAAUCGCAAUUCACGUAGUGAGAGCUGUACUACAGCUUCCAGCCUCACUUGCACACCCUGAGCAGAGAAACAAGUAAAGCUGAAGGCAGAGGCUAGCAUGGCAAAAGAUGCAACAAAGCAAAAAAUCCCCCUGAAAGACUACUGAGUAGACAAAACAUUUCGGGAAACUGAAAUCAUAAAAGUAUUAGGCCAGGAAAAGAACCAAGAAAUCUUUAAAGCCCCUUAAACCCUCUUCCUGCAGUAAGGAGGGUGAGGAGGGUCCAAGAAAGAAAAGAAGCCAGACUGUAUCCCCAACUUACUGGACAGUCACCAUCUGGGUAGUUAUCGGGGAUGUAAACUGUAAACUUAAAUACACCAUCUUGAUAAAGUCCAUGCCGUAUGAAUAUUACUCCAAACCACACUGUAGGAAAAAAUAAAAACAGUUACAGGCUAAGUUUGUGUCAGAGGAACCAAAUAUGCUAUAAAAAGAGCAAAUCCUUCUUACUUAAUGCAGAUCGAUAAGAUGGCUGCACAUAGACACCAGGUAACUUCUGCUUCACAACCAAGGUACUGAAACAGAAGCAGCAGAACAGUGAGAUUGCACGGAUGGAAACGACAUACAGACCAAACCACCCACGUUCAUUUUUUGAAAGAAGGAAUAGUCCCUUGAAGGGCAGCUGAUACUCUAACCAUACAGACAGAGUCAUCACAAUCUCUCACCUGGCCCUGACUGCUGCCUGUUUACUGGUUUCAUAACACAUGCUUACAGAGAAACACAGCCAAAUAAGGGCCCCAGAUUAAGAAAUUAAAGCCGAAAAGGGAUACACAAUCAAGUUUUCCACCCAGAAAUCAGCUUCCCCAAAACACCACCUUGGAAACCAACCUGUAGGUAAUUCUGGACAUCAAAUUUUAGAUCGCUAUUCAAGAUGAAGCGGUGAGAACAUUUGUUAGGAUGAUUCUUAAAUCACAAGACUACAUGUGAUGUCCUUUAGUCUUUGACUGAAAAGCUGGAGUUACUCUUUUACAAGGACAUUCUAGCACCACGAUCAAGAUGACCUGAAAGUCUGUUGAGCAGGCAGGCUAUUACAGAGAGCAGAGCAAAGCUGAAGCAAGGCUAAAUCGUAAGAAAAUUCAUGCAUCAGCUGCAGCCUAUAAAGACAAUAAGGCCAAUAUUUACAGGAUUUACUUGAAACAGAGAAAGAAAUGGUUUCUCCUGGCGGCCCCAGAAAGAGGGCAAGGGGUUACUAUACAAUUAGACAAGACUAGAAAGGUCCCCUAGCAUUUAGCUGUAGAAAGUCGGGUGCUAAGCAUCUCAAAAUAAAUAGUAUAGAGGACUGAAAGCAGUCACUACCUGAUGCCACCACUUCGGUUAGAAACUAAGAAUGAAGCUGUUCUCUCACUUGCACGGGUCUGAUUUUGAUCUUGUCCCUAAUGGACACGUUUCCACAUCUGGACUAUCAUCAGUAUAAACUGUCAUUCUUAGUCAAAGACAGAGGGGUAAAUGAGUCAGAGGCUAAACUGCCGUCUCACAGGCAUCUCCUCGGCUCGAGCGCAGUCAAAGCCUGCGGAGUUGGCUGCAUUAAAAGCGUACACAGCAUCGUGUACAGGAAAAAAGAUUAAUAGUGGUGUUCUCUUACACGUGGAAUUAUGGGUGACAUUCAUUUUCUUUUUGUUUGUGUAUUUUAAGCUUCCCUAAAAUGUAUUUUAUUUAGAAAACUUAAACCAGUGCCCUCAAGUCUGACUUGACCAUAUUGGACUGGUCUUGCCCAACCAACACUUCUCUAACCAUGAAAUCUUGCAGUUUGUCAAAAGACUACUACAAUAAAGUGUCACAAAUUUCA